UACGGAGGGGGCAAGCGUUAUUCGGAAUUAUUGGGCGUAAAGGGCGCGUAGGCGGCUAGAUGUGUCAAAGGUGAAAUCCCUCGGCUCAACUGAGGAACUGCCUUUGAAACUGUCUGGCUUGAGGCCGGGAGAGGGUAGCGGAAUUCCCAGUGUAGCGGUGAAAUGCGUAGAUAUCGGGAGGAACACCAGUGGCGAAGGCGACUACCUGGCCUGUUCUUGACGCUGAGGCGCGAAAGCUAGGGUAGCAAACGGG
rnacentral:rRNA from 1 species